rnacentral:rRNA from 1 species
GGUGAACGCGGUGCGAGGUGCCAUGGUAGUGCGUGAUGGGCAAGAGUUAUACGGAUUUAUUUGGGUUAAAGGGUCCGUAGGCGGACUUAUAAGUCAGUGGGUAAAGCCUGUCGCUUAAAGAUAGAACUGACAUUGAGACUGUAAGUCUUGAGUAUAUUUUAGGUAGCUGGAAUAAGUAGUGUAGCGGUGAAAUGCAUAGAUAUUACUUAGAACACCAAUAGCGAAGGCAGUUUACCAAGAUAUAACUGACGCUGAGGGACGAAAGCGUGGGGAGCGAACAGGAUUAGAUACCCGAGUAGU